CAGGGAUUGCCUCAGUAACGGCGAGUGAAGCGGCAACAGCUCAAAUUUGAAAUCUGGCCCUCUCAGGGUCCGAGUUGUAAUUUGGAGAGGAUGCUUCGGGUGUGGCCCCGGUCUAAGUUCCUUGGAACAGGACGUCACAGAGGGUGAGAAUCCCGUACGUGCCCGGUGGCCGCCCCCGUGUGAAGCUCCUUCGACGAGUCGAGUUGUUUGGGAAUGCAGCUCAAAAUGGGUGGUAAAUUUCAUCUAAAGCUAAAUAUUGGCCAGAGACCGAUAGCGCACAAGUAGAGUGAUCGAAAGAUGAAAAGCACUUUGGAAAGAGAGUUAAACAGUACGUGAAAUUGUUGAAAGGGAAGCGCUGGCAACCAGACUUGCACAGGGUCGAUCAUCCGGUGUUCGCACCGGUGCACUCGGCCCCGUGCAGGCCAGCAUCGGUCUAGACGGUUGGAUAAAGGCCUUGGGAAUGUGACUCUCUUCGGGGAGUGUUAUAGCCCAAGGUGCAAUGCAGCCCGUCUGGACCGAGGACCGCGCUCCGGCUAGGAUGCUGGCGUAAUGGUUGUCAGCGACCCGUCU
rnacentral:rRNA from 1 species